UCCUUCUUAGCUCAGUUGGUAGAGCGCGUCACUAGUAUUUGCCAAUAAUUAUUAUCCAUUAUGACGAGGUCAGUCGUUCAAGUCGGCUAGAAGGAA